rnacentral:pre_miRNA from 1 species
ACUCUAGUAUAGACCCCAAUCCACAUGUGCUGAGGUAGAUUGGGGUGUAAAUUAGUUUAAGUUACACCCUAAUCCAUCUUAAUAUAUGUGGAUUGGGGUCAAUACUAGA